AGCGCAGGCGGGAAGACAAGUUGGAAGUGAAAACUAUGGGCUCAACCCAUAAAUUGCUUUCAAAACUGCUGGCCUUGAGUAGUGCAGAGGUAGGUGGAAUUCCCGGUGUAGCGGUGGAAUGCGUAGAUAUCGGGAGGAACACCAGUGGCGAAGGCGACCUACUGGGCACCAACUGACGCUGAGGCUCGAAAGCAUGGGUAGCAAACA
rnacentral:rRNA from 1 species